UACGUAGGGGGCAAGCGUUAUCCGGAAUUACUGGGCGUAAAGGGUGCGUAGGCGGUCUUACAAGUCAGAAGUGAAAGGCUACGGCUCAACCGUAGUAAGCUUUUGAAACUGUUAGACUUGAGUGCAGGAGAGGAGAGUGGAAUUCCUAGUGUAGCGGUGAAAUGCGUAGAUAUUAGGAGGAACACCAGUUGCGAAGGCGGCUCUCUGGACUGUAACUGACGCUGAGGCACGAAAGCGUGGGGAGC
rnacentral:rRNA from 1 species